rnacentral:misc_RNA from 1 species
GAUGAAGAACGCAGCGAAAUGCGAUAAUUAAUGUGAAUUGCAGAAUUCCGUGAAUCAUCGAGUCUUUGAACGCACAUUGCGCCUCAUGGCAUUCCAUGAGGCAUGCCCAUCUCAGCGUUAGAAAAUAUUCUCAAAUUUUAGUUUUGUGCUAAAAUUUGGAUCAUGUCAAGGAAGCUAUUACUAUUAUUGUGAUCGCUCUUUGGAAAUUGAUAGGUCUUUGAGUUGCUACUCAUAGAACGUGAUGAAUCUUUCUUCGUUCUAUUGUAAUUCACUCUGGUAGUCCUAAAACUUGUAUGCCUGUGGCAUAUCUUGUAAUUUGACCUGAGAUUGGGUAGGGAUACCCGCUGAACUUAAGCAUAUCAAUAAGCGGAGGA